rnacentral:rRNA from 1 species
UCGAGAAUCUUCCGCAAUGGGCGAAAGCCUGACGGAGCGACACCGCGUGCAGGAUGACGGCCUUCGGGUUGUAAACUGCUGUCACGCUAUAGGAAAGCCUUCGGGUUGACCAAAGCGAGAGGAAGCACCGGCUAACUCCGUGCCAGCAGCCGCGGUAAGACGGAGGGUGCAAACGUUGUUCGGAAUCACUGGGCAUAAAGCGCACGUAGGCGGUUCACUAAGUCGAAUGUGAAAGCCCCCGGCUCAACCGGGGAACUGCAUCCGAUACUGGUGGACUCGAGGGUGGUUGGGGUAAGUGGAACUCCUGGUGGAGCGGUGAAAUGCGUAGAUAUCAGGAGGAACACCAGUGGCGAAAGCGGCUUACUGGACCACUCCUGACGCUGAGGUGCGAAAGCUAGGGUAGCGAACGGGAUUAGAUACCCCCGUAGUCC